UAUAUAUAUAUAUAUAUAAAGCCUGGAAACAUAUAAAAGGCAAAUGGCUGGGAAACAAGGGAACGUUUGUGACGGACAAAGAGGUAAUGUGCUUUGUAAAGAGCUCUUAGAUGAAGGGCCUAAGAGACUUACUAACAAAGGAACUAAAAAGACAAUUUGUAAAAGGAAUAUAAAUGGCCAUGAGUCAUAGGAGGGAAUUGAGUGUCAUUAAAGUCAAAUGAUUGGGAAUAAAAAAUGAGAGACAGUUUUCACCCAUCAAUUGAAACUGCCCACUGCCCUCCUGUGGCUGUCAGCUGGACCGCGGGGGCUGCUGGUCCAUGAGGACUUCUGUUCUUGGUCACUGUGACCGACAUGAUUCCUUGAUGAUUUCCACACCCACAUGCAGGAACCAUGCGGUGCCCUGGCCUCCCAGCUCUUUGACCUUUCCCUUCUCCAGUGAACUUGUUCUCCACCAAGCCCCUGACAUCUGCUCCCAUCCUGACACCCAGCGUUAUUAUCCAUAACUACAGCUUCUCUCAAGGGCAGUUUCUAAGAUCCCACACUCCGGCCGCUAUCUCCUCUCUUUCCAUCUCUGACUCCAGCCAUCUUUUGGCCUUGGGGGCCACUCAUUGCUGUUUUCACUGCUAGCCUUUCCUGUCCCUCCUUCCUCAGCUUAAACACCAAGGUCGCUCAGUGUCAUCCCUCCUUUGCCUCCCUCUCUUUUGUAAUCACUUGCCUGACUACAACCCUGGUUGAAGCCAUGUCACUGCAUGCAUGUGCCCUGGUGAUAUGGCUGCAUAGACAACCACACAGACAGGGACUUCCAGUGGGUCCAUAAUGCUGCCGGGGCACCACCCUCUAUUUCCUGAGCCCAUUCAUUCUUUCUUUCCUUAGAUGACUAUUUCCUAUCUUCUAGCUUUUCCUCAAACCUCCAACACAUCCUCUCAUCCUCACUCUCAGCUGUCACCCUUGCUUCCUAUCUCACUAACAAUGUAGAAACAAUGUAGAAACAAUCGGCCGGGCGCGGUGGCUCACGCCUGUAAUCCCAGCACUUUGGGAGGCCGAGGCGGGCGGAUCACGAGGUCAGGAGAUCGAGACCAUCCUGGCUAACACGGUGAAACCCUGUCUCUACUAAAAAUACAAAAAAUUAGCCGGGCGAGGUGGCGGGCCCCUGUAGUCCCAGCUACUCCGGAGGCUGAGGCAGGAGAAUGGCGUGAACCCCAGGGGGCGGAGCCUGCAGUGAGCCGAGAUUGCGCCACUGCACUCCAGCCUGGGCGACAGCGAGACUCCGUCUCAAAAAAAAAAAAAAAAAAAAAAAAAAAAAAAAAAAGAAACAAUCGAGCUUCCCCCACGAUGGGUACCAUUGCUCCCCCUUUCCCGCAUUGCAUCCCAUCCUCUUGCACCCAACCAAGCACUUUGCCCCAACAAUUCUCCAACCAGUUCUUCCCGCCUACAGGAUUAUUUCCAUCAUCAUACAAACAUUAUUUUAUUUCUCCCGUCCUAAAAAAAGAACCGUCUCUCGAUCAAAUGCCCCUUUCUCUCCUUCCUUUGCCAUCAGAGCUCCUAAUAAGAUUAGUCUAUAAUCACUGUCUCCACUUUCUCUCUUGAACCUACUCCAGUCAGGUCUUUGCUCCUCUCAUUCCACUAAGACUGGUUCUCAUGGGCACCAGUGGCCUCCUUAUUGCUAAUCUAAUGGUCAAUUCUUAGUCUUCAUCUUAAUCCUGAUCCCUCCAGCCUCCCUGAGACUUCUCCACUUGGCUUCUGGGUCACCGCAUUCUCUUGAUUGUUUUCUUGCCUCUCUGUCUGCUCGUCCUCAGUAUCCUUUGCUGAUUCCUUCUGGCAUCCAAACCUCUGAACACAGGCGUGCCCACAGCCUUCAUCUUUGGACAGAUCCUCUUUUCUGUCCAUUCUAUGUGCUGUUAAUUCCUGUGUGCCCUCAGCCUUGACCUCUCCCUAAGCUUCAGUCCUCUAUCCAACUGUCUACUUGGUGUCUCUACUAGGAUGUCUUAAACCGUAUCUCAUAUUAAUAAGCUCAUAUCUGAGGUCUUGAUCUCCACCCUCUACCCCUGUUCUGUUUUGUUCCUUUGCCAACUUCUCCAACUUAGUAAAUGGCAACUUCAUUCUCCAAGCUGCUCAGGUCAAAAAGCUGGGACUCACCCUGACUCUUUCUUAGCUCUCCCCCAUCCCCGAAUCAGCAAAUCCUGUAGGUGCACGUGCCACCUUCACGUCUCUAGAUUUCAAUCUCUUCUCACCAUCCCCAUCACGUCUAUUCCAUUGCCACCAUCAUCUCCAUCCUAGAUUACGGCACUAGCCUCCUUCGUUCCUUAGCCCACCUCAGCCUGUUCUGAACACAGCAGCGAGAGGGAUCUUGUUAAAUUCCAAGUCAAACCCUCCAGUGCUCCCCUUCUCUUCCAGGGAAAGUUGAAUUCCACACGGUCCUCCAUAACACAUCUAUCUCCUCCUCCCCUUCUGAUUUCGGUUACUCCUCUGACAUCACUUACACACAUUACUCUUCUCCUCUCUGCCUUUCUUCGGCCACACUGAUUUUGCUUUACCUCGAACUUGCCAACCAGGCUCUCAUCUCACACCUUCUCACUUGCCGAUCCCUCAUGUCUGCAAUCUUGUCCUCCAGAUAUUUGCACGCCAUCUCCCUAUUUAGCACUUUACUCAUAUCUCCCCAGUAAGCCCUUCUCUGCCCACCCCAUCUAAAAUUCACGCCCCUUUCACCCAACACUUCCAGUUGUUAUUGCUAGAUUUAUUUUUCUCAUUAGCAUUUACAAUGAACAUGCUGCAUACUUUACUGAUUUCCCUUGUUUACUGACAGCCUCCUGCACAAGAAUGGAAACUCCAGGAAGCAGGAAUUCCUUAUCUCACUUGCUCAUUGCUGUAUCUCAGCACCCAGCCCAGAGCCUACCACCUAGUAAAUGCCUAAUAAGUAUUUUUUUGAGUGACAAGAUACUAAAUAUGAUAAUUCGCAGCCUUGGCAUGAAUGUGGCCAAAUGGUCACUCUCAUCUUUGCUUGGAAGUUUCAAUUACUAAAACCUUUCUAGAGAGCAGUUUGGCAAUUUGAAUCAAGAACAUUUAAGGCCAGGUGCGUUGGCUCAUUCAUGUAAUCCCAGCACUUUGAGAGGCCGAGGCGGGCAGAUCACUUGAGCUCAGGAAUUUGAGACCAGCCUGGGCAACAUGGGAAAACCUGGUCUCUACAAAAAAUACAAAAAGUAGCCUGGUGUGGUGGCUCUUAUCUGUAGUUCCAGCUACUCAGGAGGCUAAGGUGGGAGGAUUGCUUGAGCCUGGGAGGUCGAGGCUGCAGUGAGCCAUGCUCGCGUCACUGCACUCCAGCCUGGGCGACCCUGUCUCAAAAAAAGUGUGUGUGUGUGUGUGUGUGUGUGUGUGUGUGUGUAUAAUGAGAUGUAGAGACUUACAAAAGGAAUGUUCAUCAAAGUUGCUUAUAGUAAAGGGGAGUUGGAAACCAUAUAGUGUCCAACAAUAAAGGGCUGCUUAAAAAUUAUGAAUCAGCUAUACAAAGGAAUAUUGUAGAGUCAUCAAAAUUAUACUUUUAUGCGUAAUUUAAUGGGAAAAUGUGCAUUGUCUAUUUCACAAAACAAAGAUAUUAAAUUUUGUAUAGAAUUAUCCCAGAUAUAUAUGAAUGUGUGUAUAUAUGUAUACAUGUGUACAUAUAUAUGUAUACACAUGUACAUAUAUAUACACAUGUACAUAUAUAUGUAUACACAUGUACAUAUAUACACACAUGUACAUAUAUGUAUAUAUACACACGUACAUAUAUGUAUAUUUGUAUACACAUGUACAUAUAUACACACAAAUAUAGUAUAUCUAUAAGAGAGACAGGAAAUACUGGCUUUCUGUUUGUGAUGAAAUGCAAAUUCCUUAUGUAUUUUUCCAAAAUGUUUAAAAUGAGGCUUUUGUAAUCAGAAGUAUAUAAGCCCCCUUCCCCCAAAGAAAAUGAUUAUUCUACUGCCCGUCUUGACUGUAUUCUUACUUGGGGGCAGGGUGGGUGGCGUGAACAGGGAGAGCUAAUCUCUCCUUCUUUCUGACUCAUUCCACAGUCAAUCCUUUUUCUUAUUAUUUUCCAAAGGCAUGAGGACCUUCCAUGUUCCGAAACCAUUGUCCAGAGUAUUUCUUCUGGACUAUUUUCCACUUCCUUCCAUCUGACCGGCCAGCUGUUCUGCAUUUGUAAAAGCUGGUUUCUGAUGUCAUCUCUAGGCAGGACCGCUCCCUCCCUCUCCUGCACUCCUAUACUUCGUGGCAUAUCCGCCCCAAGAUAACACUUGUCACUCUGUUUUCCAAAUUCAGUUUCAUUCAUUUGCUUCACAUGUGCACUGAGCCCACUGACUUCUUUCCCUGUCUGUUGCCAGCACUGGAGACCAAGCCUGCACGCUUUGGCCCAGACCAUCUCAUUCACCUUUUAACACAGAAUCAGGGCCAUUCUCAAGCACAACCUGGGUGAGGCUCUGUCAUUGCUUAAUGGAUCAGCUGUAUAGUAACAGCAGAAGAUAAAACAUGAGAAGGUGUUUCAUUAUGUUGCCUAGGCUGGCCUCGAACUCCUGAGCUCAAGAGAUCUGCCCACCUCAGCCUCCCAAAGAGCUGGGAUUACAGGCAUGAGCCACCAUGCUUGGCCUGGACAUCUUUUAUGUGAAGAGAGGGCUUCCAGAUCAGCUAAAGUAUCAACAAGAAUGAAAAUGACACUUCAAAGGAUUUAAGUGAAGAGAGUGUCGUGAAGAUUAUUUGUAGAGAUGUGGGAUCAGAUGAGAAACACCCUGGGACCAGAAACAGCAGAAGCCCUAAUGCCUGCCAAAGGGCAAGACCAGGGUGAGCUCCUACCCACAGUAUCUGGCGAGAGCUGGAGCCCUGAGACAGGGAUGGGGCCUACUGGCACUUGGAAAGUGUACUGGGGUCUUAGUGAACUGAUGUCAUUUCCUCUUCUCUUCCCCAGGAUUUGAGAUUUCUAAAAACAACAACAACAACAACAACAACAACAACAAAACCCUAUACAAAUCUAAAUUAGUUAAAAAAAAAAAAACUAAAGUGGUUGGAUGGGAGCUAUGGCUUAGGAAGAGAAACACAGCCCAUCAAAGAGGGACUAGGGAUUUAAAUAACCCUCUCUUCUCUCUUCCUGUCCAUGCCUUCUGUUGGGUGAAACUAGCAGCCAGAAGGCAAGGGGGCCUGGGUGGAGAUGUCCAGUGGCAUUAGCCUCCCAGGUACAGAGAGAUGCAGAGAAAGAUGCAAAAUAGACCUGGAGUAGCUGAGAAUCAUCUUGUCAUUUGUCACCUAUUAGCCAGUUGCUUUGUCCAAGGCCUUGAGCCUCAGUUUUCUAUAGAGUGGGCAUCAAACUUGUCUACCUCUUGUCUGCCUCACAGGGCCAUGGGGAACAGCCAGUGAAAGUGUUAAAAUCAUUCGCUUGCCAUUUGACCCUCUUCUUCAUCUGCAUUAUCUCACUUAAUUCCUCAACAGCCGGGUAGGGUAUAAGGCAGAGAGGCCAGGGGACAAGGACAGGCAGGCACUUUGGAAUCAGAAGAAGAGGUCAUCAACUGUGGCUCAGCCAAGCUUUUUAACUGUGAGAUCAUGGGAAACUGAAGCUCUCUGAACCUCAGCUAUUGUCUUACUUUGAGCUCCCCCAAAAUCACAUCCUGAGACAAAUAUUUGAGUGCAAAUAGUUCAUUUGGGAGCUGAUCCCAGGAUGCACCAGGAGGGACUGGGCAGGGACUCAGAAAAGGGAAGAAACCCAAUUAUUGGUGUAUUCACAAGUGGGCAACUCGGUCUCAGUGCCACAACUGUGAUGAAGACUGUGCAGGACACAUCCUGGGGUUGGUGGAAUGCAGGGUGCGGGUGCUGGGGUGUUUAUUCACCACCUUCCAUCCCUCACUGGCUGAGGGUUGUUCUUGGAAGUUUUAACUCCCUGGCCAUUUCACACUGCCUGCUGUGGCCAGAGGAGACUCAAGCAGCCAGAGAGUGCCAUGGGGUGGAGACACACAGGAAGCCACAUAGAUGCCCUCCAGCAUGGGCCAGGAGGGAAUGUCUGGGGGACCGACAGCAUCCGUUUUGUUUUUCUAAUUUGUAUGCUAGAGAUGAUGUCUAUGUCACAGGACAGUGACAGAGAUGAAAUGAUUAAUGAUUAAAUGGCUAAAUGUCUUCCAAGUGCCUGGCUCAUAGUAGGUAUCCAAAGAAAAGGAGGCAUUCAUAGUAAAGAUGGGUAAAUAUUCAUGUGUUACAGAUGGAAGCAAAUGGGACUCAAAGAAGUUAAGACAUUUGCCCUAAAUCACACAGACAGUUCUUAAAUGGCCAAGUCAGAUCUGGCCCCAGUUUGUUCCCCUUCCACUCUGCCGUGGCUACCUCCUGUUAAUGGACUAUACAUUUAGAGUGCUUUUGCCUCAUAAAGUGUGUGAAGCUCCAUAAAUAUAAAAUGUUUGUAGUCCCAGCCUUGCUAGCUCAAAUCCAAGUUAAAUUGACUCUUGGGUAGUUCUUCUCUCAGCCCCAAUUCUCAUAAGCUCAAAUAUAUAUUUUCUUAGUCCCCUGGGAUCCUCCAUUCUGUGCCCCAACAAUCCCUAACCCUUCAUUAGUAAUGCCUAGAUGUCUCCACAUAUUUCAAGGGGUGCCAGAAAGUCUCCAGACAAAAUAAAAGAUGCCAUAAAACACCAAGUGCAUAAAACUCUAGACACCUUGUUCUCCAUGUCAUGUUUCCUUUUAAAAACAAAUAUUUUGAAAUGCCCUCUUUACUAUCCUGCUGAUACACACAUAAAAACUAAUAAAAUGCACAAACUCUUUUCUUAAAAAUUGUGGGAAGAUAUACAUAAUAAAAAAUUUACCAUUUUAACCA